CAGCUUUGUGAGUCUCACACAAAAUUUUCAUCAAUCCAUAACCCCAAGACUGGGGGCAGCUUUGCAAAUCUCAUUUGAAAUUUUCUCACCCUAACUUUCAUGGAUCCAAACCCCAGCUCAUUUUCCAUAACAUCAAGCUGGGGCNCCCUUUGUGUAUCUCGUGUUCACCCUGACAUUCUCAUAUCAAAUCUCCUUUGAGGAUUAUAUGAGGAAUGACUUCUCCAUAUAGUUAUCCCAUUCUCCUCUAAACCCUUCUAAACAUCUC
rnacentral:lncRNA from 1 species